UAAUAUGCUGAUUUUCCUGACUUGUAGGG
rnacentral:piRNA from 1 species